rnacentral:lncRNA from 1 species
UAACUUUCAAGUUUCAACUAUAAUUGGACCUUUUCCGGACCCUGGGUCAGACCACACUUUAUAAUUCGGGCUAGGGACCGAGACCGACUAUUUCCACUCUCCCCGUUACAACAACCACGUUUAUACUAAUAUGUGUAAAUUUGAAUUAGUUAUUAUAAUUAAGGGUGAGCAUUCGGUUAAUAAUCGAACCGAACAAGAAAUUCGGUUAUGAUCAAUAUUCAAAAAUGGCCUAUUUUAACUAUCCGAAUAAAUAACCGAAAUGUACACUAACCGAAUAACCCGGUUAUUCGGUUAAUAACCUUCGGUUAUUCGGUUAAUAACCGAAUAACAAGCCUUAAAAAAAUUAACAAAAGGGGAAGAAAAUAGACAAAAGUAUAGUUCUCUUUCGGACAUUCUCCAGUCUAUAAUCACCUUCCCAUGUCAGUCCUGAUCCAUAACCUAUCAUUUUUUGCUCAUCCCAGAUCCACACCCACCACGGCGGCGACACCACUUUAAAAUCAAGGAAAUGAUAUUCUUUAAACAGACAAAAUUAUAAGCUGAAAGUGAUUGGGGGUUCGAUGGGGGCGUCGUUGUCGAACCUGAUGACCGAAGGUUCGGCCACGGGAGGACCAGGGCUGGGAGACAUACCGGAGAGCUGCGUGGCAUGCGUUUUUCUUCUACUUAAAUCCGCCGGAGAUCUGCAUGACCCUCUUCGUCGCGGCGUCGCCUUAAUCGUCGGAAAAGGGGCCGAAUCUCGUAGCUCCGAACUAAAGGUGUGACAGAUCUGAGUUUGAGAGAGAGAGAGAGGGUUUGAAGGAUCUGAGUUUGAGACUUGAGAAGGGUAUGAGAGAAUUUCAGAUCUGAGACUUAGCUGUUUUACCUCCGACCUUAAGUUUCCAGAGAGAGAAAGCUAGUGGGAGAGAGAAAGCUAGUGAGAGAGAGAGAAAUCUGAAAUUUGAGUUUCAGAUUGAGACAGAUUCGGGGGUGAGUAUUAUUUUAAGUUAAGUGCUUUUGAUCGGUU